CAGCAGCCGCGGUAAUACGAAGGGGGCUAGCGUUAAUCGGAAUUACUGGGCGUAAAGCGUGCGUAGGCGGUUUGUUAAGUCUGUUGUGAAAUCCCCGGGCUCAACCUGGGAACUGCAUUUGUGACUGGCAAGCUAGAGUGUGGCAGAGGGGGGUGGAAUUCCGCGUGUAGCAGUGAAAUGCGUAGAUAUGCGGAGGAACACCGAUGGCGAAGGCAGCCCCCUGGGCCAACACUGACGCUCAUGCACGAAAGCGUGGGGAGCAAACAGGAUUAGAUACCCGCGUAGUCCCUGUCUCUUAUAC
rnacentral:rRNA from 1 species